rnacentral:rRNA from 1 species
UACGUAGGGGGCAAGCGUUGUCCGGAUUUAUUGGGCGUAAAGAGCGUGUAGGCGGCCAUACAGGUCAGCUGUGAAAACUCGAGGCUCAACCUCGAGACGUCGGUUGAAACCGUAUGGCUAGAGUCCGGAAGAGGAGAGUGGAAUUCCCGGUGUAGCGGUGAAAUGCGCAGAUAUCGGGAAGAACACCCGUGGCGAAGGCGGCUCUCUGGGACGGUUCUGACGCUGAGACGCGAAAGCGUGGGGAGCGAACAGG